UGUGAACAAUUGUGUGGCAACANGCAAUGCAUUUAUUAGACAAUAACCAAUACGUACUGUGUGGGUAGCAAUACUUGUGCUUUACGUCAAGGUGAAUCUAGAUAACUUUGCUGAUCGUAUGGCCUUGUGCUGACGAUAUUUCAAUUGAAUUUCUGCCCUAUCAACUAGUUGGUAAGGUAGUGGCUUACCAAGGUUGCAACGGGUAACGGGGAAUCAGGGUUCGAUUCCGGAGAGGGAGCCUGAGAAACGGCUACCACAUCCAAGGGAGGCAGCAGGCGCGCAAAUUACCCAAUCCAGACACUGGGAGGUGGUGACGAGAAAUACUGGAUCGUUUGUGACAAACAUGCGAUACCGGAAUGAACAUAAUUUAAGACUGUUGUCGAGAAACAACUAGAGGGCAAGUCUGGUGCCAGCAGCCGCGGUAAUUCCAGCUCUAGUAGUGUCGUGUGAUGUUGCUGCGGUUAAAACGCACGUAGUUGGAUUACGCAGUGUAAGAACGGUACUCAAUGUGUGGUGACAUUAAAGCUUCUUUGUGGAUUAGUGUGUGAGAUAACGGAAGUACGACUUAUGUCUGCAUCACGACUCGCAUAUCUAGCUGCAUUGAGGUGUUGCAGUGCAUUGAAUCCAGCCGUCUUAUGCUACAUGUAUCGUGAAUGUAAUGCAUAGCCUUAAUUGGUCGUGUGUUGUGUUUGCGGAGUGUGCCUUGAAUAAAUCAAAGUGCUUAAAGCAGGCGUUAUAGCUUGAAUGUUAAUAGCAUGGAACGAACAAUUGUGAAUGCACAAGUGCAGUGUAAUGUAUGGGCUUUAGUCUAUACAUAUGAUUGAGCUUGUGUAGCACCAACCAUUGAUACGGAUGUUGGUUUCCGUAUUGAGGUGAGUAUUAAAACGAGCGGUUGGGGGCAUUAGUAUUUGGCAGCGAGAGGUGAAAUUAA
rnacentral:rRNA from 1 species